UAUCCGUAGGUGAACCUGCGGAUGGAUCAUUAAUGAAGCUCUUUUUAGCUUUCAGUGUAUUGUGUACUGUAUUGAUUGACUGUGUGGUCGGUGUGCGUGUGUUGCGUUGCGCUGCGAUGUUUCGUGGCCACGCGCACCGACUGUGCACUAUUGAACGUAUUAUGAAACGAGAACUGAUGUGUAACACUCUAUUGUAAAACAUAGAAAACGCACAACUUUCAGCAACGGAUCUCUUGGCUCUC
rnacentral:misc_RNA from 1 species